rnacentral:misc_RNA from 1 species
AAGUCGUAACAAGGUCUCCGUUGGUGAACCAGCGGAGGGAUCAUUAAAGAGUUUUGAUAACUCCUAAAACCCAUGUGAACUUACCUUCUGUUGCCUCGGCAGGUCGUGUCUACCCUGUGGUCUCCUACCCUGUAGGAGACUACCUGGUGGUCACGGGUCUACCUGUCAGUGGCCCGUUAAACUCUGUUUAUUAUAUGCCAUUCUGAAUUAUCAACUAAAUAAGUUUAAAACUUUCAACAACGGAUCUCUUGGUUCUG